rnacentral:lncRNA from 1 species
GGGAGGCCCGAGAGAGAAGUUCAUCAGAUGGCCGAGAGCUACAGACCUGGGACCUUUGAGAUGUGUCUGCAGACAUAGGACCUUUGAGAACUUGAUCAAAGUCACAAACCCUCUCCUAGGAAGGCGUUCCCACCCCAUUUUGCAGCCGGUUCGUGGGAGAGGCAUUAGGACUCCCGAUGCCUGCUUUGAGCCGUGUCUUGGUGAAGAGCCCUGCUUCUGUGUCCCUUUAAACCCCUCCAGGCCCUGGGGGUCCUGGGCCGAGUCAACAGCUCCGGCUACGUACAAGUGAGCUCUGUGGCUGUGGACGCCCGAGCACUGGUCGCAGUGGACAACAGCACUUUGCGGGGGCUGCUCAUCUUCAAGACUGCCGAGAACCAGCGGGAGGUGGAGGUUUUGCUCACACACGACCUGCCCCAGCCCGGCCCCUCGGGUCUCCCAGCCCACGUCCUGCUGCAGCUGGCCACCGAGAGGCAGGGGCCCCGCUACAGAGGCACCCUGAGGGUCGGAGUGGACGGCAGACAGGCGUCCGAGGAGCUGACGUUCACUCGGCAGCCAGAGCGCAUCUCCCUGGAGUACACCCUCCAGCACGACGUCCCCAUGCUGCGGACGCUGC